rnacentral:rRNA from 1 species
UACGAAGGGGGCUAGCGUUGCUCGGAAUUACUGGGCGUAAAGGGCGCGUAGGCGGACAGUUUAGUCAGAGGUAAAAGCCCAGGGCUCAACCUUGGAACUGCCUUUGAUACUGGAGAGCUUGAGUCCGGAAGAGGUGAGUGGAACUCCGAGUGUAGAGGUGAAAUUCGUAGAUAUUCGGAAGAACACCAGUGGCGAAGGCGGCUCACUGGUCCGGUACUGACGCUGAGGUGCGAAAGCGUGGGGAGCAAACAGGG